rnacentral:sRNA from 1 species
GCCAGGCAUGGUAUUGCACGCCUGUAAUCCCAGUGGCUUUGGAGGCUGAGGCAGGAGGAUGGCAAAUUCAAAGCCAGCCUCAGCAACUUAUCGAGGCCCUAAGCAACUUGGCCAGACCCUGUUUCAA